UACAGAGGUCUCAAGCGUUGUUCGGAUUCAUUGGGCGUAAAGGGGUGCGUAGGCGGCGCGGUAAGUCGGGUGUGAAAUCUCGGAGCUUAACUCCGAAACUGCAUUCGAUACUGCCGUGCUUGAGGACUGGAGAGGAGACUGGAAUUUACGGUGUAGCGGUGAAAUGCGUAGAUAUCGUAAGGAAGACCAGUGGCGAAAGCGGCGCACUGGACCACAACUGACGCUGAGGCGCGAAAGCUAGGGGAGCAAACAGG
rnacentral:rRNA from 1 species